rnacentral:rRNA from 1 species
AGAGUUUGAUCAUGGCUCAGGAUGAACGCUAGCGGCAGGCUUAAUACAUGCAAGUCGUGGGGCAGCAGCUCUGUAGCAAUACAGAGGCUGGCGACCGGCAAACGGGUGCGGAACACGUACACAACCUUCCUUCGAGUGGGGAAUAGCCCGGGGAAACCCGGAUUAAUACCCCGUAACAUAAUGGAGUGGCAUCACUUUAUUAUUAUAGCUCCGGCGCUUGAAGAUGGGUGUGCGACUGAUUAGGCAGUUGGCGGGGUAACGGCCCACCAAACCUACGAUCAGUAACUGGUGUGAGAGCACGACCAGUCACACGGGCACUGAGACACGGGCCCGACUCCUACGGGAGGCAGCAGUAAGGAAUAUUGGUCAAUGGACGCAAGUCUGAACCAGCCAUGCCGCGUGGAGGAUGAAGGCCCUCUGGGUUGUAAACUUCUUUUAUCUGGGACGAAAAAGGGACUUUCUAGUUCAACUGACGGUACCAGAGGAAUAAGCACCGGCUAACUCCGUGCCAGCAGCCGCGGUAAUACGGAGGGUGCAAGCGUUAUCCGGAUUCACUGGGUUUAAAGGGUGCGUAGGUGGAUUGGUAAGUCAGUGGUGAAAUCUCCAGGCUUAACUUGGAAACUGCCAUUGAUACUAUUAAUCUUGAAUACCGUGGAGGUCAGCGGAAUAUGUCAUGUAGCGGUGAAAUGCUUAGAUAUGACAUAGAACACCAAUUGCGAAGGCAGCUGGCUACACGAAUAUUGACACUGAUGCACGAAAGCGUGGGGAUCAAACAGGAUUAGAUACCCUGGUAGUCC